UACGAAGGUGGCAAGCGUUACUCGGAAUUACUAGGCGUAAAGGGCAGGUAGGUGGUUUGGUAAGUCUGUUGUGAAAGCUCCUUGCUUAACGGGGAGAGGUCAACAGAUACUGCCAGGCUUGAGUCUAGGAGAGGGUACUGGAAUUCCCGGUGUAGCGGUGAAGUGCGCAGAGAUCGGGAGGAACACCAAUGGCGAAAGCAGGUACCUGGACUAGUACUGACACUCAGCUGCGAAAGCUAGGGGAGCAAACAGG
rnacentral:rRNA from 1 species